CCUACGGGAGGCAGCAGUGAGGAAUAUUGGUCAAUGGACGAGAGUCUGAACCAGCCAAGUAGCGUGAAGGAUGACUGCCCUAUGGGUUGUAAACUUCUUUUAUAGGGGAAUAAAACAGGGUAUGCAGACCCUCUUGUAUGUACCAUAUGAAUAAGGAUCGGCUAACUCCGUGCCAGCAGCCGCGGUAAUACGGAGGAUCCGAGCGUUAUCCGGAUUUAUUGGGUUUAAAGGGAGCGUAGGUGGCUUGUUAAGUCAGUUGGGAAAGUUUGCGGCUCAACCGUAAAAUUGCAGUUGAAACUGGCAGUCUUGCGUACAGUCGCGGUGGGCGGCAUUCGUGGUGUAGC
rnacentral:rRNA from 1 species